AAUGAUUGGGUGCUCCAGGCAAACAAGGAGCAGUGAUGUUCUGAGGUGAGAAUGGGAAGAGGGUACUCCACAGAGAGAUGGCUCCCAACAAAUAUAGAGAGAAACCUGGAGCCCUCCCGUAGUGGUUACACACGAGUGCUGCACAGGCCCAACCGCAAAGAGACCUGGACCUCCACCCCUAACCUCCGGCUACAUCUGAGGGAUCCUGUGUAGAACGCAGCUCCACUGUCAUUGCACAACGUCUGCAGGCUCACGAGAGAUCAUACUAAAGAAGAGAUCCACACAGGAAAUCUUGCAUGAGUUGCUCCAAGGGUUCAAUUCUCCAUCUACCCCCAAGAAGCACAGGUGCAUCAGGCCACCGCCUACAAGCAUGGCCGGUCUGGGCUGAGAACCAGUCCCAUUCAUGGGGAAAGUCAGGACCCACAGAUGAUCAAGGCAAUCCAAGGAACGGGACUAAUAACAACUGGCUCCCCUGGGGCCUGCUGGAGAAAGUGCUCUCCCCUGAUCCUUCCUCCAUAGGUCAGGAACAGACCAAGGUACAUCAGCUUAGGGGACAUGCCAGGGAGCCCAUGCUUUGGUCUCUUCUCAGGCCCAAUCUGUGGGAUUUUGAGCAGCAUUUGAGGUGCUCUCUGUGUUCUAUGUGCAGUGGGAUGCUUACAGAUGACUCCAUGGAAUACUGGUCUUCGUAAAAGCUCUGAGUUGAGAGAAAUGUGAGUGUUGCGCAGCUAUUCGUGUGUGUUGAAGUUUCCAAUGCUGUGCCCUACGUCUGAACCAACCAAUGGUACUUUGAAGCCUAAAACCUUUUUCUGUGUGGGCCCUGAACUCCUUUGUCCUGUACAACUUCCUGAGGGGAUUGGUGUCUCUGGGCUGAGUGCCAGACCCUGAUCUUCCCAGUGGCUUGUGGUUUGGAAGCUGACAACAGUGCCCCUCCUUGUGUCUCUGGUGUGGAAAGGAAUCAUCCACCCUGACAACAGAUGAGUCCUGGGCCAUGGGGACGCUCUGGGAGGCCAGAAUGGAUACUUUUGUACAGUCCCUGCCACGAUCCAUCCAGGAGAGAAGCCUCUCAGAAAACGCAGUCGUUUCCCACCUCUAUCACGUGUUCAGCACAGCUCAAAGGGUCCUGGGCCAGCAGCUCCUCAAGUGAGUGACCACCCCAUACACAGCACAGGGCCUGAGGCUCGC